UUAGUUUGUGUAACCCAGCCUUAGUAUCUUAGGGUUACAUAAAAUAAAUCUCCAGAUUCCAAAUAAUAAUAGCAAAGUCAAUAUAAUAUUAUUAUAUGAUAUGUUUAUGUUAAAAGAGUUAAGUGUAAAGUUAGUGUGCUUUACCUCGAUAAAACUGCGAUUUGGAUUUCGAAAGGAUGUCAAUAUGCUACGUAACGACGCUCUAUAGGAAGUCACUUCUGUUAAUAUGCAAAACGGAUUGGUAUUGCUUACAGUCGGCUCAGCCAAUAUCGAUUUCUAGUGGCAGGUAUCGUCAUGCUCGCUUAAAUGCCUCUGCUUGUGGCGGCGACGUGGGGCGGGUCGUUGCCUUCCCGAAAAAUAUGGUCUAGGGAGGCGAUGGCUGGUCCAUGCGUCAUGCUCGUGAACGGGUGCUACUCGUGGGGGCUGGAUGAUCUUGUUACCGGGAGGUCUGCUUGAUGUGUUUUUUUUAUUAUUAUUAUUUCCUUUAAAGUUAAAGUUAUUAUAUAUUUUAUUUUAUGAAAUGCUCACAUAAUGCCUCUAUUUAUUUACGGUAUGUGUGGAUUGAUGCAUCUACUAUACUCAAUAACUCUUGUGUUUAUAAGUAUUAAUUUACUUUUUUUUUUCUCUUUUUGACUUACUCAUGUAAGCCUUUCAGUUUUUGACUUUUGAGUAUUUUUGUUGCGUCACUUUGCAUAUAUUGUAAUUGAAAUGAUUUGUAAAACAACUAAAAUGUAAAUCUUGACUUAAAAGAGUGGCAAUGAGUUUCUUGCUACUUCUUCUCAUUAGCUCAACCCUUUACGAAGUAGCGGUAAAUUCAAUAAGAAACAAUAUUUAUAUAUUUUUUUUGACAUUCAUAAGUGUCAUUUUUGUGACCUACAUGAAUAAAGUGUUUUUGAAUUUGAA